AUUGAACGCUGGCGGCAGGCCUAACACAUGCAAGUCGAGCGGAUGAAGGGAGCUUGCUCCUGGAUUCAGCGGCGGACGGGUGAGUAAUGCCUAGGAAUCUGCCUGGUAGUGGGGGAUAACGUCCGGAAACGGGCGCUAAUACCGCAUACGACCUGAGGGAGAAAGUGGGGGAUCUUCGGACCUCACGCUAUCAGAUGAGCCUAGGUCGGAUUAGCUAGUUGGUGGGGUAAAGGCCUACCAAGGCGACGAUCCGUAACUGGUCUGAGAGGCUGAUCAGUCACCUUGGAACUGAGCCACGGUCCAGACUCCUACGGGAGGCCGCAGUGGGGAAUGUUGGACAACGGGCGGAAGUCUGAUCCAGCCGUGCCGCGUGUGUGAAGAAGGUCUUCGGAGUGUAAAGACCUCUUAGUUGUGAGGAAGGGCAGUAAGUUAAUACCUUGCUGGUGUGACGUUACUGACAGAAUAAGCACCGGCUAACUUCGUG
rnacentral:rRNA from 1 species